CUAACCAACUGAGCUAUGAAAGCUUCAUAUGAGAAAGUUGCAAGGUCUUAUAAUUACAGAACCACGAAUGAGAAAGUUGACAAAAUGAAAUGAGGUAAGGAAAUUUCCAAUUCUAUCUAUUUUUUUAGUUCCAAAUUUGCAUAACUUUCAUGGAACUGCAACAGACACUGAUACAUAGAAGACUCAUGCUAUUACCAUAUGAUUGUAUCACCAGAUUGCAAAAUGGUAAUGAUGAUGACUGAACUAAUUGUUACAUAGAAAGGAUAAUAUGAAACAAAACACAUGAGCAGAUAUGGUUGACAAUAAAUCAAAAACAAAAGAAUAACAUAAAAACAGUCAGUCCAUCAACAAAUACAGUCAUACUCCUAACUUAGUAGUUAGUAGUAUCAUAAUGACUAUCUUUAUUUACGCGAUGAAAGGAUAACUACAUAAACACCAUGUAUAUUUUCAAGAUGAGUCAUUCGCGACACUUCAUUAAUGCAAUUUAUGUCUCCAAUUUACGUGGCAGUGUUACUGUAAUGUGCGAGCAAUGGCAGUUUUUGUUUCAUCAUGUUCUCCAUUCAGGCAGGGAAGAUAAAGACGAGCUGUUGUCAUGUGUGAAGAGAAGCACAAGAAGGGUUGUGGGAGCAUUCAUGUGAGAUCCGAAAGGGGAGUGUUAGAGGUUCGCAUGAUGAUAGAGUAAAUUAGAUUAGAAGGUCACAAUUUGGUGUCGAGUGAUUCCAUUCCUUUCAAAAUGAUUGGAUUUCUUUAUCUCAUUCCCGUCCAACUUCAGUCCCAACAAAUUUCAUUUCCAAGCUUCUACGCACCAAAGCACAAGAUUAUAAGCCGAUGAAAACAUAACCAUAACCAGAUGCAGAGUUGAUCCCACAAAAGUUGAAUCUCUUGAAUAUGUGUUAAUGAAGUUGAUGGGGAGUAAUGUUAGCUCAAGCUUCAAGUGAAGGAAUCUUUGUAUGGUGAAGUCUUUAUUGUCUGCAUUUUAUUUAUCAGCAGCAGGCUAAGCAAAGGAUAUUGAAUAUCCGGUUCUUGAAAGAGAGUCUGAGUUAUUGUGUCAAUUCAGUAAAGUGUUUGGAAUUUAAAACCCCCUCCUUUUAGAUGUUUGCUCUUAUGUGCAAAAGAACACUAAUUCACUUGUAAUCAACAUGACACCAAAAUAUUCAGCAGAAUUGCAGCAAUAAGAACCAUAAUUUUGUGCACUGCUUUGGUUGCUAAAAUGCAGACCAUUCUGCAAAGCUAGAGCACUAGAAUACAAACUUUCUACAGAG
rnacentral:lncRNA from 1 species